rnacentral:rRNA from 1 species
GGUUAAACGAAUAGGGGAGCCGUAGGGCAACCGAGUCUUAACUGGGCGAAUAGUUGCAAGGUAUAGACCCGAAACCCGGUGAUCUAGCCAUGGGCAGGUUGAAGGUUGGGUAACACUAACUGGAGGACCGAACCGACUAAUGUUGAAAAAUUAGCGGAUGACUUGUGGCUGGGGGUGAAAGGCCAAUCAAACCGGGAGAUAGCUGGUUCUCCCCGAAAGCUAUUUAGGUAGCGCCUCGUGAACUCAUCUUCGGGGGUAGAGCACUGUUUCGGCUAGGGGGUCAUCCCGACUUACCAAACCGAUGCAAACUCCGAAUACCGAAGAAUGUUAUCACGGGAGACACACGGCGGGUGCUAACGUCCGUCGUGAAGAGGGAAACAACCCAGACCGCCAGCUAAGGUCCCAAAGUCAUGGUUAAGUGGGAAACGAUGUGGGAAGGCACAGACAGCCAGGAUGUUGGCUUAGAAGCAGCCAUCAUUUAAAGAAAGCGUAAUAGCUCACUGGUCGAGUCGGCCUGCGCGGAAGAUGUAACGGGGCUAAACCAUGCACCGAAGCUGCGGCAGCGAACGUAUCACUUAAAACGCUUAACGUGACGGCAAAGCCGGCAUGUUCAAGCCACACUAAACGUUGAGUUGGCCGAUGUGCUGACAAACGAACAGGCGUUUUAAGGAUACGUUCGUUGGGUAGGGGAGCGUUCUGUAAGCCGUUGAAGGUGGUCUGUGAGGGCUGCUGGAGGUAUCAGAAGUGCGAAUGCUGACAUAAGUAACGAUAAUGCGGGUGAAAAACCCGCACGCCGGAAGACCAAGGGUUCCUGUCCAACGUUAAUCGGGGCAGGGUGAGUCGACCCCUAAGGCGAGGCUGAAAAGCGUAGUCGAUGGGAAACAGGUUAAUAUUCCUGUACUUGGUGUUACUGCGAAGGGGGGACGGAGAAGGCUAGGCUAGCCGGGCGACGGUUGUCCCGGUUUAAGCAUGUAGGCGGAGUGACCAGGUAAAUCCGGUUGCUUAUCAACGCUGAGGUGUGAUGACGAGUCACUACGGUGAUGAAGUAGUUGAUGCCAUGCUUCCAGGAAAAGCCUCUAAGCAUCAGGUAACAUGAAAUCGUACCCCAAACCGACACAGGUGGUCAGGUAGAGAAUACUCAGGCGCUUGAGAGAACUCGGGUGAAGGAACUAGGCAAAAUGGUGCCGUAACUUCGGGAGAAGGCACGCUGGCAUUAGGUAAAGGGACUUGCUCCCGGCGCCGAAGCCAGUCGCAGAUACCAGCUGGCUGCAACUGUUUAAUAAAAACACAGCACUGUGCAAACACGAAAGUGGACGUAUACGGUGUGACGCCUGCCCGGUGCUGGAAGGUUAAUUGAUGGGGUCAGCCGCAAGGCGAAGCUCUUGAUCGAAGCCCCAGUAAACGGCGGCCGUAACUAUAACGGUCCUAAGGUAGCGAAAUUCCUUGUCGGGUAAGUUCCGACCUGCACGAAUGGCGUAAUGAUGGCCAGGCUGUCUCCACCCGAGACUCAGUGAAAUUGAACUCGCUGUGAAGAUGCAGUGUACCCGCGGCAAGACGGAAAGACCCCGUGAACCUUUACUAUAGCUUGACACUGAACAUUGAGCCUUGAUGUGUAGGAUAGGUGGGAGGCAUAGAAGUGUGGACGCCAGUCUGCAUGGAGCCAACC